AGUCCAGGGGUGACACAGAAACCACCAUGAUGUGUCCAACGGUCCAGAGAGGUCCGGCGGGGCUAUCAGACGGUCCAGAGAGGUCCGGAGGGGGUAUCAGACGGUCCAGAGAGGUCCGGCGGGGGUAUCAGACGGUCCAGAGAGGUCUGGCGGGGCUAUCAGACGGUCCAGAGAGGUCUGAGGGUAUCAGACGGU